rnacentral:rRNA from 1 species
UAGGGAAUCUUCGGCAAUGGGGGGAACCCUGACCGAGCAACGCCGCGUGAGUGAAGAAGGUUUUCGGAUCGUAAAGCUCUGUUGUUAAGGAAGAACGAGUGUGAGAAUGGAAAGUUCAUACUGUGACGGUACUUAACCAGAAAGGGACGGCUAACUACGUGCCAGCAGCCGCGGUAAUACGUAGGUCCCGAGCGUUGUCCGGAUUUAUUGGGCGUAAAGCGAGCGCAGGCGGUUAGAUAAGUCUGAAGUUAAAGGCAGUGGCUCAACCAUUGUAGGCUUUGGAAACUGUUUAACUUGAGUGCAGAAGGGGAGAGUGGAAUUCCAUGUGUAGCGGUGAAAUGCGUAGAUAUAUGGAGGAACACCGGUGGCGAAAGCGGCUAUCUGGUCUGUAACUAACGCUGAGGCUCGAAAGCGUGGGGAGCGAACAGG